rnacentral:sRNA from 1 species
CUCGCAGGAGAGGCUGGCAGUAGGUCUGGGGGCAGCAGGCCUCAGCAGAGGUCUCACAUCACCAAGAUUUGAGGCAUCAUCUGCCCAAGGCUGGUGGCCCAGAUCCAUGAUGAGCUGCUGUUUGAAGUGGAAGAUCCGCAGAUCCCGGAGUGUGCAGCUCUCGUCAGGAGGACCAUGGAGUCCUUGGAACAGGUGCAGGCAUUGGAGCUGCAGCUUCAGGUACCCCUCAAGGUGAGCCUGAGUGCCGGCCGCUCAUGGGGACACCUGGUGCCACUGCAGGAGGCCUGGGGCCCUCCGCCAGGCCCAUGUCGCACUGAGUCUCCCAGCAACAGCCUGGCUACCCCCGGGUCCCCUGUCAGCACCCAGCCCCCACCCCCGCAUUUUUCGCCUUCAUUUUGUCUGUAGCCCCAGGCAACAGUGGGAGGAGAGAACUGGUUUCCAGCAGUCCAUUGUGUGGCCUUCCCCAAGGUCACCAGCUCUGUACGCCCCAGGACGCAUUAACCCUUUGGGGCUGGGGUGGCCCGUCAUCCCCUGGAGUAAAUGCCUGUGCAAAGCCCUC